rnacentral:rRNA from 1 species
CGUAGGUGGUUUGUCGCGUUGUUCGUGAAAUCUCACGGCUUAACUGUGAGCGUGCGGGCGAUACGGGCAGACUAGAGUACUGCAGGGGAGACUGGAAUUCCUGGUGUAGCGGUGGAAUGCGCAGAUAUCAGGAGGAACACCGGUGGCGAAGGCGGGUCUCUGGGCAGUAACUGACGCUGAGGAGCGAAAGCGUGGGGAGCGAACAGGAUUAGAUACCCUGGUAGUCCACGCCGUAAACGGUGGGUACUAGGUGUGGGUUUCCUUCCUUGGGAUCCGUGCCGUAGCUAACGCAUUAAGUACCCCGCCUGGGGAGUACGGCCGCAAGGCUAAAACUCAAAGGAAUUGACGGGGGCCAGCACAAGCGGCGGAGCAUGUGGAUUAAUUCGAUGCAACGCGAAGAACCUUACCUGGGUUUGACAUGCACAGGACGCGUCUAGAGAUAGGCGUUCCCUUGUGGCCUGUGUGCAGGUGGUGCAUGGCUGUCGUCAGCUCGUGUCGUGAGAUGUUGGGUUAAGUCCCGCAACGAGCGCAACCCUUGUCUCAUGUUGCCAGCGGGUAAUGCCGGGGACUCGUGAGAGACUGCCGGGGUCAACUCGGAGGAAGGUGGGGAUGACGUCAAGUCAUCAUGCCCCUUAUGUCCAGGGCUUCACACAUGCUACAAUGGCCGGUACAAAGGGCUGCGAUGCCGUAAGGUUAAGCGAAUCCUUUUAAAGCCGGUCUCAGUUCGGAUUGGGGUCUGCAACUCGACCCCAUGAAGUCGGAGUC